rnacentral:rRNA from 1 species
UUGGUCAUUUAGAGGAAGUAAAAGUCGUAACAAGGUCUCCGUUGGUGAACCAGCGGAGGGAUCAUUACCGAGUUUACAACUCCCAAACCCCUGUGAACAUACCUAUACGUUGCCUCGGCGGAUCAGCCCGCGCCCCGUAAAACGGGACGGCCCGCCCGAGGACCCCUAAACUCUGUUUUUAGUGGAACUUCUGAGUAAAACAAACAAAUAAAUCAAAACUUUCAACGACGGAUCUCUUGGUUCUGGCAUCGAUGAAGAACGCAGCAAAAUGCGAUAAGUAAUGUGAAUUGCAGAAUUCAGUGAAUCAUCGAAUCUUUGAACGCACAUUGCGCCCGCCAGUAUUCUGGCGGGCAUGCCUGUUCGAGCGUCAUUUCAACCCUCAAGCUCAGCUUGGUGUUGGGACUCGCGGUAACCCGCGUUCCCCAAAUCGAUUGGCGGUCACGUCGAGCUUCCAUAGCGUAGUAAUCAUACACCUCGUUACUGGUAAUCGUCGCGGCCACGCCGUUAAACCCCAACUUCUGAAUGUUGACCUCGGAUCAGGUAGGAAUACCCGCUGAACUUAAGCAUAUCAAUAAG